UCAACAAACAGAUAUGAUCUUGUCAGAAUUUGUUUAGAAGACAAAUAGACAAACCUACUUGAAAAAUAAUACUGGUUAAAAGUACAGCUUAUUCUAAUUUUGUCUUUUUUUAUCUUAUUUAAUAACAGAGUAAAGGUUAUCCAUAUAUGUACAGAGCUUCUACGUUUCAAUCGCUAGGAGUGGGAACGCCCAGAAGGGGAAAAAAUAAACGCAUUCUAGACUCAGAUGAUGAAAGCCCAACCAGCUCUGGCCGCGUAGCAGCUCCAGGGGUGUUAGAUCUGGAGGACUCUAUGCUUCAAAAACAGCCCAAGCAGUCCACUCCUAUGCCUAAAAAAACAAGGCCGUGUGAAAAACUCAAUCCAUCAACCACAGAAGCUGACGAUGACACCGACAUUGAUUCAUCUCAGGAAGAGUCUCUGAGUUUGUUACCAUCAAAAACAUACCAAAUCACUAUUCCCUGUAGCGUUAUUUUGGACUCUGGAUCCUUUGCAGAAUCAGGUGUGUUCAUCUCUCUUCUAUUAUCCU
rnacentral:lncRNA from 12 species